UUCGCGUUCAGAGCUGUGGACGCCCGGGAAAUGGUCCUGGCAAGUGCGGACGCUGCGCUCCGCGGUACGGUUCUCGGCGCUCUGCCCCAAGAACCCACUCCUCUGUAGGAGCCGCUGCCGCCUCAAGCCUGCCCGCAGAAGAGCUCCAACUGCCCUCCACCUGGGAACCCGUGUGGGGACCGCGCGCGCAGUGGUUUCCCACCUGGCCGCGCCGCCGCUUCGAAGUCCGGGAACAGGAAGGACUCCAGCGGUCUUCCAGGGCCGGCGGAGGCUGAGCGCUGCGGCCUGUCCCCAGACGGGCCAGCCCUUCCACGCACGGUAUCCCAGCGUGGUACCCGGAUACCCCCGGGCCCGGCGGGCAGCAGUUGCCGAGUUGUCCCAUUUCCGGUUUCCUGCGGUUCCAACCACAGCUCUGUCCUAUUUGGUUAAGUUUGAGCCGGACGCUGUGACGGCCUGUUCAUAGCUAAGAUGCCGCACCCCCCCCCCCCCCCGCCCCGCCACAUCCCAAACUGUAUUUUCAACAAUUCGGUGGAAAUGUUCACUACUAACCAUGUUUCACAUUUAUUCACAUGUAUCACGACGACAAUCCCGCUGGCACCCUUUUGGCUGUCCCCAGUGUAUGCGGAGACCCGGCGUGGAAGAGCCUCUUUCAGGGGUAGCGUUCUACCAUGUUCCCGGUGCAGGCCCCUGGCAGCAUCCUGGGUGGCUUUCUAGUCUGCAUGUGGGCACAGCUUGUGGCACGAGGAAACCCGUACGGUGCAGGGGCGGCUCCCCUGAGAGGAGACCUGGCUCGUCUCGGGAGCCUGGGCCAUGACUGCAACUGCUGCUUCCUUACCUGGAGACCCAGAGGCGCCCCUUUCCUUGACAGAAACCCUAGCCAUGGACAUGCCUCAUCCCACGAACCCUGCUCUGUAUCGUCUCACCAAGCACCUACUACAGAAAUAUCACAAGGCAGUGAGGCCAGUUCACGACUGGACUGAGGCCACCACGGUGUAUCUAGAUGUGCUUGUCCACGCCAUUUUGGAUGUGGAUGCACAGAACCAAAAAUUGAAGACAAGUAUAUGGUACCACGAGGUUUGGGAUGAUGAGUUUUUAUCCUGGAACCCCAGCAUGUUUGAUGAGAUUAGAGAGAUCUCUCUACCUCUGAGUGACAUCUGGGCGCCUGACAUCAUCAUCAAGGAGCUUGUGGACUUCGAAGGAUCACCCAACCUUCUGUAUGUCUAUGUGAACUCAUCUGGGACCAUUAAGAACUCUAAGCCUAUCCAGGUGGUCUCUGCGUGCAGUUUAGAAACCUACGCGUUUCCGUUUGACAUCCAGAACUGCAGCCUGACCUUCAGUAGCGCCCUGCACACAGUGCACGACGUCAACCUGGCCUUCCUGAGGAGCAGAGGAGACAUGAAGCAUGACAAGAAGGAAUUUUUGAACGACAGUGAGUGGGAGCUUCUCUCUGUGUCCUCAUCGCACAACAUCCUACAGAGCUAUGCUGGAGAGUCUGCCCAGAUUCAGUUUCACGUAGUGAUUCGCAGGCGCCCACUGGUCUAUGUUGUGAGCCUGCUGAUUCCCAGCAUCUUCCUAAUGCUCGUGGAUCUGGGGAGCUUCUACCUACCACCCACGUGUCGUGCCAGGAUUGUGUUCAAGACCAGCGUGCUGGUGGGCUACACCGUCUUCAGGGUCAACAUGUCUGACGAGAUGCCCAGGAACGCACUGAGCACCCCUCUGAUUGGGGUCUUCUUCGCGGUCUGCAUGGCCUUCCUGGUUAUCAGCUUAUUUAAGUCCAUCCUGUUGGUCAGAUUCCUCCAUGACGAGUGGAGCACUGGGCAGGAACGGCCCCUCUUGUGCCUUCAAGGGGUCACUGAUGCUGAUGGGCCUAGGACAGAUCCCAGAGCCCAGCUUGCUGGGGCAACAGAGCCCCCCUUCUGUCAAGAACACCAGGUCCAGCCAGGGACCAUGAAGGAGGUCUGGUUCCAGCUGAGGUCCAUCAGCACCUACUUCCAAACCUGGGAGCAGGCGGAGCAGCAGGAGGUUAUGUGGCUGGCACUCCUGCAGCGUUUUGACCGACUGCUCUUUCAAGCCUACGUCGUCGUGCUGGGACUCUACGCCGUCACCCUGUGCUCCCUGUGGGCACUGUGGGCCAGCUCGUGAACGUGAUUUCCUUGGGGGUGGAGAUGGGGGCACAUGGGUUAACAAACUCCUCACUUCUUAUUGCCUCUUGUCCUUCAGUGCAGGAGCUCACAGCUGAGGGGACACUGCAUGACCCAGGAUUAGGCAUUCUGGAAGAAAGUGCCUAGACAUCUCAAGGUCUACAGUGAAAAGGAAGCCUGCCUUCUUAUUCUGGUUCGCUCCCCCAGAGUGACCACCAUUAGCAAUCUCGUUCAGAACAUGCCUAGGGUCAACCUUGCACAAAGCAGAAUGCAAGAUUCGCACCAUAUCCGUGUCCUGAAGCCCUUGUUCCCACUGUCUCCCAUGAGCACCUCUCCGCCUGCACCCCAUCACCUGCUGGAGGGAAGCCGGUACCAACCUCACAGACCAAAUCAACACAACAUGUGUAAGGCAUGGCACUGGGGGAUAGGCUUCCUGCAUGGCCCUUGGGUUCAAGGACAUUAUAAUCCACUGUCCUAGUAUUUGUCAGCUAGGGCUGCCGUAACAAAACACCACAGGCUCCCACACUUAAACAGAAAUGUCUCUUCUCCCCACUGGGAUCAAGGUGUCAGCAGAGUUGAUUUCUUCUGAGGCCUCUGUCCUUGGCCCACAGCUGGCUGCCUUAUCCCCGUGUCCUCAGGUGGCUUUCCCUCUGCAGUGUCCGAAUCUGUGUCCGCAUUCCUCUUAUGAGGACACCGACUGUGUUGGAUUAAGGCCCACAUGAACAGCCUCAUUUAACCUGAACCACCUCUUUAAAGGCCCUACUCCAGAUGCACAUUCUGAGGCACUGGGGGGUUAGGAUUUCAAUGUGAAUUUGGGGGCAGGUAACACAAUUCAGCCCAUGCUACCCACAUGGCUAUGGUCACUUGGCCAGUCCAAAAUCUGCAGGUAGGCUGGGGCCCAGGGAAUAGUUGCAGUUUGAGUCCAAAGCAGAGGCAUCGUGUCUGCUGGCCAAAUUCCCGCUUAUUCCAGGAAGCCAGUGUUUUACUCUUGAGGCUUUCAACUGAUUGGAUGAGGCCCACCCACAUUCUGGAGGGGAAUCUUCUUUACCAAAGUCUACUGAUUUAAAUGCUAAUCUCAUGUUUAAAAAAAUACCUUCACAGAAGCAUCUAGAAGAAUGUUUGAUCAAAUAUCUGGCCUACCCAAGUCCACACACAAAACUAGCCCUCACGGUCCCUGUGGCCCCAUAGCUUUCCAUCUAUGCCAACAGUUGCUUGUUAAGACAGAAGAGCUCUGGUCACUAGGCACUCGCGUAACUCAUCAGCUUCUGGCUCUUACUCUCCAGUAGCCAAAUCUGUACUGACCGGCUUACCUUACAGCAGUUCCCGGGGCCCCCUCACCUGAAGGUUAGAGUUCAAGUCUUCCACAAGUUUUCCUUCCUCUUAUUUUGACUUUCUUCCUUUUACAUUGCUUUUUUUUUUUUUUUUUUUUUUUUUUAAUGGAGGCUUUGUCUGGCCAAGCUCACCUGCUUGCCAUUCCGUCCAAGCCUCCACAGCUAGCUGACAUAUAGUCUUUUGUGUCACCAAAUCUGUGUGCCCCUCUAAGGACCCUGCUGAAAACGGCCUUCCUGCACCCUCUCCACCUGAUCAUCCUGUGACUCUGUCUCCUUCUCGAUCUUCAGUUUUACCUUAUCCUUUAGCCUUGCCCCUUUGGAUGUUUUAUGGCUUCCUGUGCAUGAGUGUGUAUGUUUGUGUGUGGGGUAUGUAUGUAGGUGUGUGUGUUGUGGGUGUGUGUUUGUAGUGGGUGUGUAUGUGUUGGGUGCAUGUGUACCUGUGUGUACACGUGUAGGGUAGGUAUGUAGGGGUGUGUGUAUGUAGGUGUGGGGGUACAUGUAUACGUGUGUAUAUGUGUAUACAUGUGUGUAUGUAGGCAUGUGUAUGUAGAUGUAUGUGUGAUGUGGGGUGCAUGUGUACACGUGUGUGUUGUAGGUGUGGGGGUGCAUUGUACAUGUGUACGUGUGUAUACAUGUGUGUACGUAAGUGUGUGUGUUGUGGGGCAUGUAUGUGUGUAGGCGCAUCACUUGUCACACAGACCACAUACUCCUAGAGGAGUCCCCUGUUGGCUGCUUGUCAUCUCUCUGCCAUGUCUGCACAGGUCCGCACAGAGCUCUGCUCCUGGCGACCCUGCAGUGACAACAGCAGAGCGGCUCAUCCCAGCUCACUGCUGCUGUUGGACACGUCUCUAGUGUGUUCUCCCAGGCCUGAGGCGAGAGUCUACCCAAGGUCAGACUCCCAGGGCUCCAGCCCUGCUCUGCCUGCCUUCGGGGCAGCCAUCGGGAGCUUGCUGGGUGGGCCUCAGGAGGCAGAGCGAGAUCAGCCCCCCUAAUGCUAGGAGCAGAGGACACAAAAGUCCAAAGCUGUUUUCUAGGAACUUUUUGCAACACUAAAAUUGCCUUUUAAAAAACCUGCCCCCCCAUCCCCCUAAAGAAAAAGAAUUUAAAUUCAAACAGCCUUUACCUGCAUCCUCCCUCUCUCAUUACCUCCCAGUUAGUGCUCAACGCCAAUUGUCCAUGAAAUUCCGCUGCUGCUAUUAAUGAAAUGAGGAGUGUAAGAAGUUUGUGAACAGGAAGUGUCCAUGCAAACCUCCACCUGUUUCUCUACUCACUUCCUCCUUUCUACCCCCGGCCGCCUCUGUCUCCCGCCGCUCAGUUAGCCUCUCCAAUGACCCCCUAGAUCUCUCUGCACGUCCUCCGUUAUAGGGAAAAGGCCUGCUGUGAACUCCCCGCUAUAGAACCUCCUUCCUGUCCAGCUGUACUUGGAGAAAGCACCUGGCUGGGGUCUUGGCAGCAUCACUAUCUAGCCAGGGGACCUUGAGCUUCAACUACCCUGUCUGGCGUUAGGGUAGCUCAUACUUCCUCCACCAAAUCGCACAACGCUGAGUGUCAGAAUGAAGCCGUGUAUUUAACAGUACUCUGAAAAGUAGAUAAUACAUCACAAAAUAAAAAUAGGACCUGCCUGCUGUUAA